rnacentral:rRNA from 1 species
AUUGAACGCUGGCGGAAUGCUUUACACAUGCAAGUCGAACGGUAGAGGGGGCAACCCCUCGAGAGUGGCGAACGGGUGAGUAAUAUAUCGGAACGUGCCCAGUCGUGGGGGAUAACGUAGCGAAAGUUACGCUAAUACCGCAUACGAUCUAAGGAUGAAAGCGGGGGAUCGCAAGACCCCGCGCGAUUGGAGCGGCCGAUAUCAGAUUAGGUAGUGGGUGGGGUAAAGGCUCACCAAGCCAACGAUCUGUAGCUGGUCUGAGAGGACGACCAGCCACACUGGAACUGAGACACGGUCCAGACUCCUACGGGAGGCAGCAGUGGGGAAUUUUGGACAAUGGACGCAAGUCUGAUCCAGCCAUUCCGCGUGCAGGAUGAAGGCCCUCGGGUUGUAAACUGCUUUUGUACGGAACGAAAAGGUCUCUCUUAAUACGGGGGGCUCAUGACGGUACCGUAAGAAUAAGCACCGGCUAACUACGUGCCAGCAGCCGCAGUAA